rnacentral:lncRNA from 1 species
AGGAUUUCGACCACCACUGAGGAGAGCAGCGUGUCGCGCAUUUAUGCGAGGCAUCGGCGUAGGCGGCGGAAGAAGAUGCCUCCCAUGAGUCGGGUGAGAACAUCUUCGAUCAGCAGCAUCACAGACAGCACUCUGUCACUAAACAUCAUCACCGUCACAUUAAACUUAGAUACAGUCAACUUCCUUGGCAUUAGCAUAGUUGGCCAGUCGAACAAAGGUGGAGAUGGCGGCAUCUACGUGGGCUCCAUCAUGAAA